CUUGUACACACCGCCCGUCACACCAUGGGAGUGGGUUUCACCAGAAAGUAGGUAGUCUAACCGCAAGGGGGGACGCUUACCACGGUGAGACUCAUGACUGGGGUG
rnacentral:rRNA from 1 species